UUUUAUGGAGAGUUUGAUCCUGGCUCAGAGUGAACGCUGGCGGCGUGCCUAAUACAUGCAAGUCGAACGGAGUAUUAAGAGAGCUUGCUCUUUUAAUACUUAGUGGCGCACGGGUGAGUAAUGUAUAGUUAAUCUGCCCUACACUGGAGGACAACAGUUAGAAAUGACUGCUAAUACUCCAUACUCCUUCUUAACAUAAGUUAAGUCGGGAAAGUUUUUCGGUGUAGGAUGAGACUAUAUUGUAUCAGCUAGUUGGUAAGGUAAUGGCUUACCAAGGCUUUGACGCAUAACUGGUCUGAGAGGAUGAUCAGUCACACUGGAACUGAGACACGGUCCAGACUCCUACGGGAGGCAGCAGUAGGGAAUAUUGCUCAAUGGGGGAAACCCUGAAGCAGCAACGCCGCG
rnacentral:rRNA from 1 species